rnacentral:rRNA from 1 species
CACCAGCCCCUCGAGUGGUGGGGAUGAUUAUUUGGCCUAAAGCGUCCGUAGCCGGCCGGGUAAGUUUUCCGUUAAAUCCAGCGUCUCAAGCGUUAGACUGCGGGAAAUACUGCUUGGCUAGAGAGUGGGAGAGGUAAGCGGUAUUCUGGGGGUAGGGGCGAAAUCCUUUGAUCUCCGGAGGACCACCAGUGGCGAAGGCUGCUUACUAGAACACGUCUGACGGUCAGGGACGAAAGCUGGGGUAGCGAACCGGAUUAGAUACCCGGGUAGUCCCAGCCGUAAACGAUGCAUGCUAGGUGUUGGGUUGGCCACGAGCCCACCCCGGUGCCGCAGGGAAGCCGUUAAGCAUGCCGCCUGGGAAGUACGAUCGCAAGGGUUUGAAAACUUAAAGGAAUUGGGCGGGGGAGCACCACCAGGCGUGAAGCCUGCGGUUU